rnacentral:rRNA from 1 species
GAUGAACGCUGGCGGCGUGCCUAAUACAUGCAAGUCGAGCGAACAGACGAGGAGCUUGCUCCUCUGACGUUAGCGGCGGACGGGUGAGUAACACGUGGAUAACCUACCUAUAAGACUGGGAUAACUUCGGGAAACCGGAGCUAAUACCGGAUAAUAUAUUGAACCGCAUGGUUCAAUAGUGAAAGACGGUUUUGCUGUCACUUAUAGAUGGAUCCGCGCCGCAUUAGCUAGUUGGUAAGGUAACGGCUUACCAAGGCGACGAUGCGUAGCCGACCUGAGAGGGUGAUCGGCCACACUGGAACUGAGACACGGUCCAGACUACUAAGGGAGGCAGCAGUAGGGAAUCUUCCGCAAUGGGCGAAAGCCUGACGGAGCAACGCCGCGUGAGUGAUGAAGGUCUUCGGAUCGUAAAACUCUGUUAUUAGGGAAGAACAAAUGUGUAAGUAACUAUGCACGUCUUGACGGUACCUAAUCAGAAAGCCACGGCUAACUACGUG